GGAGCAUUGAAAACAUUAACACAAAUAUUGGUGAAGACACUGGGAAACAGAGGAGCCAUAAUACAAAAUGAGAAGUUAGAGGAAAUUGCCAUCUUGCGUAUUCUGAAAGAAUCUUUCACAAAGUUAUUGAGAAUUAAGGAAAGACUCUUACAGUCACUUAGUCCCAAGACAGUAAUGAAUUCGUGGAAACGACUUUCGUCGAAUUUUGUUAAAGUAAUGGAUUAUAUUUCUAACAUAGAAGCAAAUUCACAUGUUUUCAGGGAGAUGAAGGAUAGUUCAUUUUAUCGUCCUCGGAUGGAAGGAAGGAAAACUUGACCUCAGUGACAUAUAAAAUCAGAACAUGAGACGUCUCUAAAUACUGCUACAAUCUUAUUGGAUUCCGCCAUACCGGGUCAGAUAUCGACCAUGGCCAGCAAUUUUGAGGAAGUGAAUAAAUGGAUUACAUCAACUCCAGUACUCAAAUGCUACUUAUUAUAUCGACGCCGAACGGAUGACAGAGACAGGCGACACCGCUGGAAUUAAAACUUAGAAGAUCCGCUUAGUUUCUUAGAAGACAUUUCAUCAUGGUCAUGUGACUGAUAAAAAUCGCAAAACACCAUUUGAAUUAAAAUCCUGGACUCUGUUAUGGUCUAUAAAAUGGUUGCUCAGUGGUGAUAUGACGCGAAUAUCAGAGAAGCGACAUCAAUCGACAAUCGACGAAGGCGCUGGACAGUUAAGAUACCAGCUGGAACUAUCAGGGAGGUGUUGCCAAUACAACAAUUGUGUGUACGUAGCCGUAUUUCUAUAUAAGUUGAUCAAUGGAGUAAGCGUUCAAAUGUUUUGAAGCCAUUUGUUGGUAACAGGAAGAGAUUUUUUUCUAAGGGAAGUCUUCAUUUUUCAAGUGAAUCAGAAUGAAUGUAACGCACUUCUGAAGAGGACCGGCUAAGUUUUAUAUCCCAACUUCCUGUUACAUUCGAACUUGUGAAUAAAUGAUUAGACUGCGGCCAUGCUGGGGCACCGCCUUGAAUUCUAGCCGAAUGAAUCGACCCCAGUACUUACUUUUUUAAGCCGGAUACUUAUUCUGUCGAUUUCAUUUGCCGAACCACACUACAAUACGAGGGCGUAAAUACAACAGCAUCAGUUGUCAAGCGAUGGUGGAGGAAAACACAAACACGAAGACGCGCGCGAGUGUGUAUACAACAGGCUUCUUUCAGUUUCCGUCUACCAAAUCCACUCUCAAGGCUUUGGUAGGCCCGAAGCUGUAGCAGCAGACAUAUGCCCCGACAGCCAUGCAGUUGAACUGAACCUGGAACCAUGUGCUUGAGAAGGAAGCUUAUCUACACAACCACAUCUGCGCCUACAAUUUCAAAUAUUUUCCUUCUUUAAGAAUAUUAACUUCUUCCAGAAGUUAUUCGGUGCAUGAUGAAAGGUUUUCCCCAGAACAUAGAUCUGUAAAGUCUAGACGCUUUGGAAUUCACUAAUUUUCCAUACAAAAUAUAUGGCUGCACAUCUCAGCUUGCCAACUCACAAGAGAGCUUCUAUGAUUUAAACUUUCGCUAAUUUUUAGACCUCAACAAUACUCGCUUACUUUCUCCAGACAUUUGCAAAAUUUGUCAAAGUUACUUCAGAUGAAAACAGUCGAAGUGUUUAACAUGUCUUCAAUAAAAUGUCCAUGUUUCUCUGCCCUACAACAAAAUAGGCACAAUGCCUGUUUUGAACUGAAUAUUUUGUUGUUAUUGUCCAUAUUUCGUUGCAAUUUACUUAACAAAUGUUCAUCUAUCUGCUUUUUGAUCAUCAAGAUUUGUCUGUCUGUUUCAUAUACGGUCGUUAAAUAUUUACAGAAAAAUAUGUUUUCCGUAGCUUUAAGAUAUACUGGUAUUUUAGGAGACACACGAGACUUUCUAGAGCUGUGCUCAUAAAUAAUAUCCAUUUUAUCAAGAUUUACUAUGAAGCCUAAUAUGUUACGCGUCGUUUUAUCGGUAUGAGUUUCAAGAUCUUUUCCAUUAUGUCCGUCGAUAUUACACUCGGCAGUCUGGCAGCAAGCUGGCAGAAUCGUAAGCACGCCAGGCGA
rnacentral:lncRNA from 1 species